UACAGAGGUGGCAAGCGUUGUUCGGAAUUACUGGGCGUAAAGGGCGCGUAGGCGGUCUUGUAAGUCUUGUGUGAAAUCCCUCGGCUUAACUGAGGAACUGCACGGGAUACUGCGAGACUUGAGUUCGGGAGAGGGAAGCGGAAUUCCGGGUGUAGCGGUGAAAUGCGUAGAUAUCCGGAGGAACACCGGUGGCGAAGGCGGCUUUCUGGUCUGAUACUGACGCUGAGGCGCGAAAGCGUGGGGAGCGAUCCGG
rnacentral:rRNA from 1 species